CCCGGUGCUGGGUAAAUUAGAGAAAAUGAGGAACAAAACCACACCUGGAAUCUGAAACUAAAAUUAACUUUUUCCAGCAAUGUCCUAUUGUGUCCGGAAUUGGUGGGUUCUUGGUCUCACUGACUUCAAGAAUGAAGCCGCGGACCCUCGCGCUGUCAGAAAGAGAUAAAUGAAUUCUUAGAGUUUGGGUGCACAGAAUAUUGUCUUAUGGAACUUCAAAAAUCGUUAGAUCCAUCUUCAUAAAAAGAACUCUUGCAGUCAAAUAACCUGUUUCCAGGAAAGGAAUGGCCAUGGCAUAUAGACCAACCUCGACUUGCGUAUGAAACUACACUAAUGGGCAUCAAGUUUAUUUGAAUUCGAGAUAUAAACUGAACGUCUGCCAGAGAAGAAUUGAUUUGAUAUUUUUAUAUAAUCUGUAUUUUAGUAAACUAAAGUCUAUGUAUGUAAUCUGAUAUAUAUGUAAUAAAUA
rnacentral:lncRNA from 10 species